UUGUGUUCUGGUACGAAUAAAUCUUACUUGGCGACUGACAGUUUAAAAUAACAGUUAUAAUAAUAUAUAUUUAUAUUAUAUAAAUAUAUACGUAUAAAAAUUUAGAAUUAAUUUUUUUGAAUGGAUUAUUGUUUUUUUACAUCUGAAGCUAUCAUCAGAACCAUACUUGAUACAACUGAAGGGAACUUUAACUCCCAUAUUUCUAUUAUUAUAGAAGAAUAUUAAUAGUAGUAUCAGAUUAUAGAAUUGUUGGCAUGACUAAGAUGUAUGAGCUGCAGCAGAUGUGGUCGAGAAAAGUUUCUUAAAAAUGGAAUAUACAUAUUAUAUAAUAAACGUAUAAUAACCACCACCCACAAUAGCAGUAUGUAGUUAUCUUCUUUUCAGUCGAUACAGUCAUCACCACCAAACAACAACAUCAUGAACGACAUGAACCAACGACGACCACCACUAUACCUUCCAACAAGCGGCGGAAAAUCACCUAACGGGUGCAGCGGACGACCACGGCGGGACCCAGCGAUGUGGACCACUUACAUUGAAAAUUUGCCAAUUUAAUAUGUAUAAUAUAUGCCUCGAUAACGAUUUAAAUAUUUGUUGUUAUUAUUCAAAAAGUAUGAGUCCGCGAAAUCCAUUUAAUUAUAAUAUUAUAUGCGAUCGCAGUGCGAAAUCGGAAUUUUAUUGACCUCACAAGAAAUCACGGUCUAGACUAUCGACAAUCGCCGCCGACUCGAAUAAUAUUAAUAUUAUCGCGUGAUAAAAUCGCGGUUUUCGAAAUACAUGACUGCCGCCGAGCGGAACGACCGAUGUAUUAACGACGAGCGGGUGAGGAAUAAAGCCGCUGCAGUCGUGGAGUCUGUUCGAGUUCCCCGAUAGAGUUUCACGCCACGAUCUAUCCGUAUCGAUUAGAAAGUACCUACCUAUUCAAUACGUAUUGGUACCACUAUGUCGUACAUACAUAGUAUAUAAUAUAAGUAUACCUGCUACACCUGAGGACAGGAUGACGUUAGCUGCAGUACGCACUAUACGGUACAGAAAGGUCGACGGUUCCGAUUAUUAUUCAAAGAAGUUUUCGUGGAGAACGUCAAAAAAUAUAUCAAUCGAGGACCAGAUGUGUUGAUGAUGACUUUAGACUAUCAUUGUACACUUUUUUUUUUAAAUUUUUAAAUGACGCUAUUUUAGCUUCGAGCAUGUCGAUAACAUUACAGAUCGAAAUUUUAUUUUUUGUUGUUUAAAAUCUUAAGGUAAUUUUUAGUAAUAUCGGAAAAUAAUUAUUAACUUAAUUUCACUAACAGGGAGAGAGAGAAAAAUUAUGAGUUGAUUAAACGCCAUCGCCAUGUUUACAAAUACGUAAUAUCUCGCAGAACUUUAGAUGAAAAUUGAUUUUUCUUCAUUCAAUAUAAUAUAUUUCUACUAAUAUUGUCAUAAUUAAUUUAAAAAUUAAAAAAAUAAUUUAAAUAUUUUUAACAACU